rnacentral:rRNA from 1 species
AACNCCGGUGGCGAAAGCGGCUCUCUGGUCUGUAACUGACGCUGAGGCUNGAAAGCGUGGGGAGCGAACAGGAUUAGAUACCCUGGUAGUCCACGCCGUAAACGAUGAGUGCUAGGUGUUGGAUCCUUUCCGGGAUUCAGUGCCGCAGCUAACGCAUUAAGCACUCCGCCUGGGGAGUACGACCGCAAGGUUGAAACUCAAAGGAAUUGACGGGGGCCUGCACAAGCGGUGGAGCAUGUGGUUUAAUUCGAAGCAACGCGAAGAACCUUACCAGGUCUUGACAUCCCGAUGCUAUUUCUAGAGAUAGGAAGUUACUUCGGUACAUCGGUGACAGGUGGUGCAUGGUUGUCGUCAGCUCGUGUCGUGAGAUGUUGGGUUAANNNNNNCANCGAGCGCAACCCCUAUUGUUAGUUGCCAUCAUUCAGUUGGGUACUCUAGCGAGACUGCCGGUAAUAAACCGGAGGAAGGUGGGGAUGACGUCAAAUCAUCAUGCCCCUUAUGACCUGGGCUACACACGUGCUACAAUGGUUGGUACAACGAGUUGCGAGUCGGUGACGGCGAGCUAGUCUCUUAAAGCCAAUCUCAGUUCGGAUUGUAGGCUGCA